AUUCCAGCUCCAAGAGCGUAUAUUAAAGUUGUUGCAGUUAAAAAGCUCGUAGUUGGAUUUCUGGUACAACGCGCCUGGCCCGCUUUUGUGAGUGCCGGUGCGCGUUUGCCAUCCUUCUAGAAAACGUCUCUACUCGGGCAACUGGGCCGGAUUCGCGAUCUAGAUCUUUUACUUUGAAAAAAUUAGAGUGUUUAAAGCAGGCUAUUGCCUUGAAUACAUUAGCAUGGAAUAAUAAUCUAGGACUUCGGUUCUAUUUUGUUGGUUCUUAGUACUGAAGUAAUGAUUGAUAGGGAUAGUUGGGGGUGCUAGUAUUGGCCGGCCAGAGGUGAAAUUCUUGGAUUCGGUCAAGACUAACUUAUGCGAAAGCAUUCACCAAGGAUGUCUUCAUUA
rnacentral:rRNA from 1 species